UACGAUUCUCGACAUUUUUUUUCGGACUAUUCACAGUUAGACUUUUAGUUUCAUUUUUGUACUUCGUUAUUGAUACUUUUAGUCUUUUAAAUUUCUUGACAAUAAUAGGUAUUUAGACAUUUUAGGCGUUAUCCGUUUUCCGUUCCACAUAAUAUCAGGACACUGUUACGUCCGUUACCAAUAUACUUUUUAAGAGGAAAGGUGUCGAAAAAAUAUUAAUCAUUGAAUAUUAUCGGCAAUUCAAGGCAAAUAUUUUUUUUUAUUUUAAAAUAUUGUAAACAAUCUUCUGAUAUUUUGUGAAACGGAAAAGUAACGGAAAAAAAUAAAAAUAAUAAUAAACAAAAAGUUCACCCUAGGUGGGAUUCGAACCCGGGGUCACAAUGCGUGCACACUUUAUGAAACCAUGUUCUAAACCUUAUUACAAAAAGCAUAAGGUCCACCGAUGGAUAGUUAAGAGUAUUGCUGUUUGUACCUAAGCCGGUUUUCUGAAAGGAGAAACUCAGCGCAAAAAGUAAAAAAAAAAAACGAAAAAGUUGACCGAUGGCGGGAAUAGAACCCAAGUCACAAGCGAACACUUUGUGCUAAGUCAAACAUACCUAAGCUGCUAGCUAGAUUCAGACCAGACAUGCAAGUGUUAUAUUUUAAAUGUCAAACAGCUAUGAAAUUAUGACUUUAAAAUAACACUUUGCAAGUCUUUGCUUUGAAAAACACUGCAGCGUUACCUUGGUCUUACUCUGCCACCCUAGUUAGUAAGCAUGCUAAAAGCAGUUUUCCAGAAUUAUUAGUCGAUUAAUGUCUAUAAGGAAAAAUGACAAAUUAUAAUAAUGUAAAAAAAAACCGCCCAAGUGCAUGUCAGUAUCGCGCACGAAGGGUUCCGUUACUCAAAAACCCUAAAAACGGGAAAAAAUCACGUUUGUUGUAUGGGAGCCCCAUUUAAAUAUUUAUUAUAAUCUGUUUUUAGUAUUUGUUGUUAUAGCGGCAACAGAAAUACAUCAUAUGUGAACAUUUCAACUGCCUAGCUAUCACGGUUCAUGAGGUACAGCCUGGUGACAGACAGACGAACAGACAGUCUCAGAUAACGGUUAAGUAUACUAUUCAGUUAUAUUAGUGUGACAGAGACAUUGGGCGUUUCGUUCGCUACGGAGUGUAAACGAUUUGCAACUUGGCUAAGCACCCAGCUUCCUCGCACAUCUCUGGUGGAAACGCAGCCUAAACCUGUCAUUUUAAGCAUCGCCUUGGUUACAUUGAUUUAGAAAAUACGAUUCUCGACAUUUUUUUUCGGACUAUUCACAGUUAGACUUUUAGUUUCAUUUUUGUACUUCGUUAUUGAUACUUUUAGUCUUUUAAAUUUCUUGACAAUAAUAGGUAUUUAGACAUUUUAGGCGUUAUCCGUUUUCCGUUCCACAUAAUAUCAGGACACUGUUACGUCCGUUACCAAUAUACUUUUUAAGAGGAAAGGUGUCGAAAAAAUAUUAAUCAUUGAAUAUUAUCGGCAAUUCAAGGCAAAUAUUUUUUUUUAUUUUAAAAUAUUGUAAACAAUCUUCUGAUAUUUUGUGAAACGGAAAAGUAACGGAAAAAAAUAAAAAUAAUAAUAAACAAAAAGUUCACCCUAGGUGGGAUUCGAACCCGGGGUCACAAUGCGUGCACACUUUAUGAAACCAUGUUCUAAACCUUAUUACAAAAAGCAUAAGGUCCACCGAUGGAUAGUUAAGAGUAUUGCUGUUUCUACCUAAGCCGGUUGUCUGAAAGGAAAAAUUCAGCGCAAAAAGUAAAAAAAAAAGGAAAAAAUUCACCGAUGGCGGGAAUAGAACCCAAGUCACAAGCGAAUACUUUGUGCUAAGUCAAACAUACCUAAGCUGCUAGCUAGAUUCAGACCAGACAUGCAAGUGUUAUAUUUUAAAUGUCAAACAGCUAUGACAUUAUGACUUUAAAAUAACACUUUGCAAGUCUUUGCUUUGAAAAACACUGCAACUAACGUUACCUUGGUCUUACUCUGCCACCCUAGUUAGUAAGCAUGCUAAAAGCAGUUUUUCCGGAAUUAUUAGUCGAUUAAUGUCUAUAAGGAAAAAUUACGAAUUAUAAUAAUGUAAAAAAAAACCGCCCAAGUGCAUGUCAGUAUCGCGCACGAAGGGUUCCGUUACUCAAAAAACGGGAAAAAACACGUUUGUUGUAUGGGAGCCCCAUUUAAAUAUUUAUUAUAAUCUGUUUUUAGUAUUUGUUGUUAUAGCGGCAACAGAAAUACAUCAUGUGUGAAAAUUUCAACUGCCUAGCUAUCACGGUUCAUGAGGUACAGCCUGGUGACAGACAGACGAACAGACAGUCUCAGAUAACGCGGUUAAGUAUACUAUUCAGUUAUAUUAGUGUGACAGAGACAUUGGGCGUUUCGUUCGCUACGGAGUGUAAACGAUUUGCAACUUGGCUAAGCACCCAGCUUCCUCGCACACCUCUGGUGGAAACGCAGCCUAAACCUGAGAUGUUAAGACAUCGCAUUGGUUACAUUGAUUUAGAAAAUACAAUUCUCGACAUUUUUUUUCGGACUAUUCACAGUUAGACUUAGUUUCAUUUUUGUACUUCGUUAUUGAUACUUUUAGUCUUUUAAAUUUUUUGGCAAUAAUAGGUAUUUAGACAUUUUAGACGUUAUUAUUUUUAGUCAUUUUUCCUUACGACAAUAGUCGCCUAAUUCGUUUUCCGUUCCACAUAUUAAUAUCAGGACACUGUUAUGUCCGUUACCAAUAUAUUUUUUAAGAGGAAAGGUGACGAAAAAAUAUUAAGCCUUGAAUAUUAUCGGCAAUACAAGGCAAUUUUUUUUUUAAUUUUAAAAUAUUGUUAACAAUCUUCUGAUAUUUUGUGAAACAGAAAAGUAACGGAAAAAAAUAAAAAUAUAAAUAAACAAAAAGUUCGCCCUAGGUGGGAUUCGAACCCGGGGUCACAAUGCGUGCACACUUUAUGCAACCAUGUUCUAAACCUUAUUACAAAAAGCAUAAGGUCCACCGAUGGAUAGUUAAGAGUAUUGCUGUUUGUACCUAAGCCAAUACUGCUACCGGCUGUGGUGCCGGUAGACAGGUAGAAUAACGUUUUUCGAUUUUGUGAUGUUGGCUGUAGUAGACCCUCAGAUAUCAUUCGCGCGCCAAAAGUCUAGCUGUAAAUUACAUUACGACUGUUACGAGUAAUAAAAGCCCGAUAUAAGUCGGUCAUAAAAUAAAAAAAUAAAUUGUUUAUUUCCGAAAAAUAUUUCUUGGAUACAGUAUAACAAAGCAUACUAAAGCUACUUAUUGUGUACCUACUUAACUGACGGAAGGGGCGCAGCUAUACGUUAUAGUUAUCGACAGUGAUAUCAGCAUUUCACUUCUACUCUACGUAUUGUUUACGUAUUAAGCGUCGGGCGAUACGUAUUAAUUAUGUGAAACUAGACGAGUUUAUUUUCGAAUAGAGAUUGAAAUAAAUCUAAUUAUUUUACUACAAAUAGGUGUACCUAAGUAUAGUAUGUCAAAGGACUGUCUAAUUUCAAACAUAGACAGAGAGAAUCAUAGUAUCUAAAGAUCUUACACUAGUGCUUAGCAUCCAAAAGCAAAAUAUAGUUUUAUUGUUCUUAUUUACUGAAAAAUUGGUUUGAGCUACCAUAUCCAUACUUUUUGAAUAUAAUAUAAUUUAAUAUUUAAUAUUAUAAAAGGAACUCUAUCUGUAUGUCUGUUACCUCUUCUCGCUUAAAUCGCUGAACCGAUUUAGAUGAAAUUUGGUAUUUAGAUUGUCCGAGUCCCGAGGAAGGACAUAGGAUAGUUUUUAACCCAUAAAUCAUCCCUGAUAGAGGUGAAAUUUUGUAUGGGGACUUAACAACAACUGCAUAACAAACUUUGUCAAUAGGAACUAUACCGCCCGCGAGGUGUAGCACCGGCGCUGGUGUACGAUUUAGUUGAAAUUUGGUAUAGAGAUAGUUUGAGUCCCGGGGAAGGAGAAUGGAUAGGUUUCAUUCAAUAAAUCACCCUUUAAGGGGGUGAAAAGGGGCGUCGAAGUUUGUAUGGGGAAUCAACAAAACGCAGUAUGGAUAAAAUAAUAGCUACCUAAAUUACUAAUUCCACGCAAACGAAGUCGCGGGCAAAAGCUAGUAAAUUAUGAAUUGAAAUAGAUGUCUUAAACUAAACAAAAAGUAACCACGCCCUCUAAUUGCUGCCGAGGCCACAAUCGACCAUCGGAAAUCCAUGGUACAGUCAACGGUAAAAAUAUGGGUGUAGACAACUUACACAAAAAUAUGUCCCAUAGUUCUUAAUUCACUGACAUAAGAGUUAUGGGACAUAUUCUUGAAAUGAUUUGUACACCCAUAUUUUUACCGUUGACUGUACACCCGCCCUUUCGAAAUUGCUCGGCAAUGGUUUAAUGUAAUAAAAAGCGAUAUAAGCUAUAAGCGCUUAGUAAAAAAAAUAUGUAUACCUACUAGUCACGGUACUAAAUUUAUUAAUAGGGUAUGAAGCGUAUUACUUAAUUCUACUACUUUUUCUUCUUCAUUUGACAUGCCCUAACGGAAGUCGGCGACCGCCUUUGCAAUCUCUCUCCUGCUCUUAGCCAUUCUUACCAGUGUGGCUGCGUUAUCCAUGUUCGUCCACUUUUUUACGUUGUCAAGCCAGGUGACCCUCCUUCUUCCCCUUCCUCUCUUGCCAUCAAUUUUUCCUUCCAAUGUUAGUUGUAUUCUACUACUUAACUAGUGACAGUAGUGACCAUAUAUAUUAGAUUCCCGGAGAAAAAGAAAACUUCUAUUUUAAAAAAUCAGUUCGCGUGUGAUAUGCCUCAGAAGUGUGAAAAAGUGCCGAGCGAGAGCGGGGCAGCCUUUUUAAAAGUUGACACAGUAAUAUAUAUUAACAUGAAAGGUAUUGAAAUCUGUAAUUUUAUAGUUUGGUAAACAAGUAAUUGUCAGUAAAAAACUGUUACGAAAAAGAGAGUACUGAGCUAUAACCGCGAAAAUAAAAAGUUCGCAAAUGGCGGGGAUCUUUCUCUUUUACUCCAAUGAAGGCAUAUAAUUUUUCAUUGCAGUAAAAGCGAAAGAUCCCCGCAAUUUGCGAAUUUCGGUUUUUGCGAUAGCCUCUCUGUUCUUUCUGCUUAAAAUGCUCCACUGAAAAACGACUCUUCCCAAACUAUAGAUUAAGUACAGGUAAGUAGUUUACCUAGUUUAUUUAAAAUUAGCAAAUACCUAAGUUAACAAUGUAACGUUAUGUCUGGUAUGGUCUGGCAAACCAAAUUUGUUAGAAGAAAAGGCAGCAAAUUGAAAAAAAAUUGGCGGGAAAAUUCUAUCUCCCAUAUGAAAUUUGAAUUUCGCAACUAAAUGCUUGGUUUGCCAGGCGAUAUUAGAUAUGUACCUGUAUUUGGAUACAUGUGGCCACUACAUGUGUAUAAGUGGGUGAAUCAACUUGUUUUACCACUUAUUGCCAUAGUUAUGGUUUUCUGAACUACAAAACAAUGGGUACUCAUCCCUUUCUUUUGGGUGCUAGUAUCAGCGUAACACUACAAAGACUCUUUCUGAAAGAUUAUUUGUCUAAAGUGUAAUUCUAUGGAACUUGCUAACUACUUAUGUAAACAAAAGUCACAAGUAAGUUCAUCAUUCAGAGACAAUUUCAAUAUGUUUACGUAGUUGUAUGUUUACAUAGUUAGCAAGUUCCAUAGAAUGACACUUUAUGUUUGAUAUGAGACAGUCCCUGGACACAAUAGGGCUUAUUACACUUAUCCUGCCUUCAGACGGCUAACGAUGAGCCGCGACGUCGGCCCCGAUAUCGGGCAAGGAUCGUUUUACGUUUCAUGUGGUUUCAUGAAAUAUUGUCACAUCGUUCACAAUAUUUCUUGGUGUAAAAAAUAGUUCAACUACAAAAAUAUCAACCAUGAUUGCCAAUUCGAGACAAAGUAUAUGUUACAUGUCAAAUAUUGUUGACGAUGCUCUUAUAUUUCGUGAAAUGCAAAACGAUCUUGCUCGGGCGCACCGUCGGCCACGAUCGUAUUAAGGCCCGACGGUGUGGAAGUGUAAUAAGCGCUUAUAAUGUACAUAACGUCAAGGAAUAGUUGAUCCACCCAUUUUUUUUUACUAGUUGUGACGUGGCUUCGCCAGUCUCCUUUGUGUCUUUUGAGAGUGUGUGGUACAUGUAUGGUAACGAAUAUUGUCAGCUAGAGGUCGGUUCUGUAACUUCCAACAACUUCUGUAAACAGGAUUGACGUCCGUACAAACAUAGCUAACGUAAUGUUACAUUUUAAGUAAAAAUUAAGGAUGACUCACGCUAGACCGCGCGGGAUCCGAGCCGAGGCGUUCGACACGUAAUUUUCUAUGACGGCUGAUCGGUGUUCACGUGGUGCUUUCCAUAUAAAACGAAGCGCUGGAGCUCCGGCUCGGUCUCAGCCCUGUCUAAUAGCGUGAGUCAUCCUUUAUGGUGAUCUCCUUAAUAGAAAUAGAAGGGCUAAAUCUAUCCUCUCACAAGUGUAACAGGAUAAUUUCUGCUGUGAGAGACAGCUCUUAGUAGCAAGUUAGCAGAAAGUAUCCGGUAGCAGAAAAGGUAUAAUCCUUAGCCAGAAGAUUCCUCCGACGAUCUCACUCCUCACAUUUUUUUUAGACAGAAUAGCAUAAUCUAGUUAUUUAUUUGUGACUAUAUCCUAGAGCCUCAGCGCCCGUUUUUGUACCCGUUUACUAUCUGUGAAUUAUGUAGAAUAUUGUAAAAUAUAGGUAGUAGGCAAUAUAAACUGACUACCUGAUAAUUAUAUUUUUUUUUUUAUAAUCAGGCAGACCACUAAGCUUAUAAUGUUUAACGUAGGUAUUUUUAGACACUCGCGCGACUUGUAGGUACCUUUACAAACACCACCACCAGACCAGUACAAACGGCAAAUAUCAAUUUACGCUUUUCCUACUGACAUAUUGGUUUGCCAAACUACAAUUAUAAUGUACCAUAAUUGGAAUAUGCUUAGGUAUCGACUGCAAUGUAUUAUUAGUUACUGCAAUAAAGAAUUUGUAAGUAUUUCCAGUUCGAUUGUCAAAGCCUCCAUUAGUAGUACCUAGGUGAUCAUAGGUCCUAGAACCGGGUCAUCCGGGGGCUUACGAUAACUUGCUUACUCGUCAAGAUAUGACGAGUAAUUAUUGUAUUUUAAAUUGUUAAAAGAUUUUUAUAGUACUUAUUGUUGUGUUGCUAUAACUUUGUUAGUGGAUUUGUUUAAAAUUGCUGUUAAAUGUUAUAAAAUUUGGUAAAUAAAGUAAUUUAACCAUU